AUUGAACGCUGGCGGAAUGCUUUACACAUGCAAGUCGAACGGCAGCACGGGGGCAGCCCUGGUGGCGAGUGGCGAACGGGUGAGUAAUACAUCGGAACGUGCCCGGUCGUGGGGGAUAACGUAGCGAAAGUUACGCUAAUACCGCAUACGAUCUGAGGAUGAAAGCGGGGGACCUUCGGGCCUCGCGCGAUCGGAGCGGCCGAUGUCAGAUUAGGUAGUUGGUGGGGUAAAGGCCUACCAAGCCGACGAUCUGUAGCUGGUCUGAGAGGACGACCAGCCACACUGGGACUGAGACACGGCCCAGACUCCUACGGGAGGCAGCAGUGGGGAAUUUUGGACAAUGGGCGCAAGCCUGAUCCAGCCAUUCCGCGUGCAGGACGAAGGCCUUCGGGUUGUAAACUGCUUUUGUACGGAACGAAAAGGCUCUGGCUAAUACCUGGGGCUCAUGACGGUACUGUAAGAAUAAGCACCGGCUAACUACGUG
rnacentral:rRNA from 1 species